GUCAAACUGACGAGUCCCAAACAGGACGAAACGUGCAUCCUGGAU
rnacentral:hammerhead_ribozyme from 1 species